CAGCUUAGGGAAAAUACAGACAUCAGGCGGAAUAACAAAUGCAGUGAGACCAAGGAUAUAAAAGGUAUGAACGAACGACCAAGUAUAACGAACAGGAAAAAAGAAGGAUCGCGAGACUUUCUUACUCUAGACUUUAUCUCACUAAAACAAGCAGCUAAUGAUUGAUCAUUCAAACCAGAUUAUUUAGAUCAGGUUGAGUAUCCACCCUAGAAUUACAGAA
rnacentral:lncRNA from 1 species